rnacentral:misc_RNA from 1 species
GAUGAAGAACGUAGCGAAAUGCGAUAAGUAAUGCGAAUUGCAGAAUUCAGUGAGUCAUCGAAUCUUUGAACGCACAUUGCGCCCUGUGGUAUUCCGCAGGGCAUGCCUGUUCGUGCGUCAUUUCAACCCUCAAGCUCUGCUUGGUGUUGGGCCCUGCCCGCUGCGGCCGGCCCUAAAGACAGUGGCGGUGCCGCCUGGCCCUGAGCGUAGUACAUCUCUCGCUCCAGUGCCCGGUGGUAGCCUGCCAGAACCCCAACUCUCGUGGUUGACCUCGGAUCAGGUAGGGAUACCCGCUGAACUUAAGCAUAUCAAUAAGCGGAGGA